UAAUACGUAGGUGGCGAGCGUUAUCCGGAUUUACUGGGUGUAAAGGGCGUGUAGGCGGGUUUGCAAGUCGGAUGUGAAAUUUCCGGGCUUAACCCGGGCAGGUCAUCCGAAACUGCAGAUCUUGAGUACUGGAGAGGAUAGUGGAAUUCCUAGUGUAGCGGUAAAAUGCGUAGAUAUUAGGAGGAACACCAGUGGCGAAGGCGGCUAUCUGGACAGUAACUGACGCUGAGGCGCGAAAGCGUGGGGAGCAAACAGG
rnacentral:rRNA from 1 species